AUAGAAGCUGACGGGAGCACCAAGCUCUCGUUCGCUUCAGCGUCAGAUGCAGAACGCUGCCGUACAGAGACGUCAGAGGUGGAUGCUGACAGCUGCUCACUAAAGGCCGCAAACCGCACCCUCGUUGUUUCGGGUCGUUGAGGUGGUUCCGGGGCUGGUGGUGGCGCCUGCGCUUCAGCGUCAGAUGCAGAGCGCUGUCGUACAGAGACGUCGUCAGAGGUGGAUGCCGACAGCUGCUCACUAAAAGUCACGGACCGCGCCCUCGUUGUUUCGGGUCGUCGAGGUGGAUCCAGGGCUGGUGGUGGCGCCUGCGCUUCAGCGUCAGAUGCAGAGCGCUGUCGUACAGAGACGUCGUCAGAGGUGGAUGCCGACAGCUGCUCACUAAAAGUCACGGACCGCGCCCUCGUUGUUCCGGGUCGUCGAGGUG